rnacentral:rRNA from 1 species
AUUGAACGCUGGCGGCAUGCCUUACACAUGCAAGUCGAACGGCAGCACGGGUGCUUGCACCUGUUGGCGAGUGGCGAACGGGUGAGUAAUACAUCGGAACAUGUCCUGUAGUGGGGGAUAGCCCGGCGAAAGCCGGAUUAAUACCGCAUACGAUCUACGGAUGACAGCGGGGGACCUUCGGCCCUCGCGCUAUAGGGUUGGCCGAUGGCUGAUUAGCUAGUUGGUGGGGUAAAGGCCUACCAAGGCGACGAUCAGUAGCUGGACUGAGAGGACGACCAGGCACACUGGGACUGAGACACGGCCCAGACGCCUACGAGAGGCAGCAGUGGGGAAUUUUGGACAAUGGGCGAAAGCAUGAUCCAGCAAUGCCGCGUGUGUGAAGAAGGCCUUCGGGUUGUAAAGCACUUUUGUCCGGAAAGAAAUCCUUGGCCCUAAGACGGUCGGGGGAUGACGGUACCGGAAGAAUAAGCACCGGCUAACUACGUG